AAGAGUAAUCCUACUCAGAGAGGAACUGCAGGUUCAGACAUUUGGUGUCUAUGUUUGGCACAGCAGUCAGUGGUGAGAGGCUACCAAGUCUGAGAUUAUGAUUGCACACCUCUAAAUCAGAAUUGCCCUCCUAA
rnacentral:ncRNA from 1 species